AUACUAAAAACAAACACGAAAAUAUUAAAUUACAUUUUUAAAAGGGCACAGACUAUUCUGAAGAUGUAAGAUUACAAAUAUGGAGGCACACACAGUAUUAAAAGAUUAUAUGCACAAAGCGGUAUGUGCAAGGACCAAUUACAAUUUUAGAAUAAAACAGUAGUUCUCGACUUUUUAUUUAGACUCAAUGCACCCCUCCAAAAUUUUUCAAAAAUUAGUGGCACCUCAGUAAAAGGACUUAUUUAAAUAGACUAUGAAUAUUAUCAUAUAUACAUGAUAAUUAUAUUAUUAAUUAAUAUGUUAGCAAUUAGUAAUUAUAAGAUAUUAUAUUCAGCCUAUUGCCAGGGCAGUGGCUGCCAGGUGGAACUGUACCACAUAUCUCCUGCAGAGUUAAACUGGGAAAUGAUUGUGGCUCUUGCCACAAGCCCUACUAGUUCAACCCUACAUGGUAAUUAUAAUCAUGGUCCAAUAAUCUGUUGCCCAACUUGCCAUCCACUUCUACAUCCCCCACCAAUCUUUCCCUGUUUCCCACCCCACUAAUGGUCCAAAUCCAGUAAGUAAUUUUUCUCAGUGUUAUGUCUACAAUGAGCACAUUCCAUGCCUAACACAAUUCCUGUAUGCCAACCAAGCUUCUCCAUCCCAGGGCUUUAGGACUUUAUUUUCGUCCUUCUGGUUCCUGCAAGCCCCUCUGGCAGAUGAUGCUGUAACUGAAAGCCAGGAGUGAAUCUUCCAUGUUUUCAGUAUCCCUCUUGCUAGUACCCGAGCACUGCGGAAGACUAGACUAUAUCUGAAUGAAGAUGGAUGGGGAACAAACAGAGGACUGACAGUCUGUAGAUGAACAGAAGAAGAAAAGGAGCCAGUGACAAAAGAGUAUGAGCUUGAGGGAAAGGAAGUAGCAGAAGGAUCUUAAUUAACAGAUCAUAGUGCACUUCAAAAUAGGAGUAUGCUCAGCAUUCCCAUGUCCAACAUACCUUUAUUGUCUAGGGAAUAAAUAUGAAACUAUUCACUGAAAAUUUUGUGCCCUGGUCCCCCUCCACUGACUGAUCUACAUGCAGAAUAAAAGCCUACUAAUGAACUUGGUACUCUUUUAGCUCAAGUGGUAAGGUUUUACAAAACUGAUAAAGAGAGUCACAAUUUGGGGUGUUAAUACAAUUGCAUAUAACAAAAUAUUCACCCACCCAAGCUUGCUUAAAAACAACACAAAACAAAAACACAGAACCGUAAGAAAAUUGCAUGCGUGCGCGCACAUAUACAUACAUAAGCUUCUCCCCCUCAAAAAACCUACGUUAAGUGCUUUACAUUAAGAAACACUUCAAUUAAGCUUGCCUGUAGGAUUUUAUUCAUUUGCAUUUAUUGAUGCAUUAUGGUAUCAUUUUAAAUGACAUAUUGGAAUUGGAAAUAUUACUAUUUCCAUAAGAUGCCACCUAAUUAAGUGCACAGGAAGGUCAGUACUUGGAAAGAAUCAAGACUGCACAGUAAAUAAGGUUGCUAUGUACAAGACCUCUUAUUCAUUUACUGCAGAAAUAGCAGGUGCAUAGUAAACAGAAGAGAGGAAAAAAUAAAAGGACAAUCUUGUGUUUAAGGCAGCUGAGCACCAUUCCCAGGAAACUGGAUUAAGUCAGAGCUCCCAUGUGAUGCUGGGCAAAAUCACAGCAUCAUAAGCUUAAAGAGGGAAACUCAAGGGACACCUAGUUCAAUCCUUGCACAGAUGCACAGCUCCUAAAUCAUCCCAGGCCUACACAUCCUUCACGAAAAAUCCUAUGAAGGAUGUUCUGCAGCUCCCCUAGCCAGCAUGCUCCAUUACCCUACUGUUCUUACAGUUAAAAUGUUUUUCUUCAAAUAUGCUAUAGUUUAAAAUCAACAGCUCACAUCCUUCCCUUCUGUGGCAAGGAAGAAUGCUAGGUCUUCAUCCUAUUUUUAGCAUUUUUUCCAAGUAUUUGAAAACUGCUGUAACGUUACCCCUUAUUUUUUUUCUCCAAGAGGAAACUUGCCUGGUUCUUUCACCCUUCCCUCAUACUGCUGACUUUUUAAAACCUAUAUCAUCUCUGGCAAUGACCUCCGACCCUCCAGUUUCUCUACGUUGUUUUAAAAAUACAAUACACUGAACAGCAUGUGCUAUCAGCAUCCAGGCUUUGCAUUAAAUGCUUCUGUUAAUACAACCAAAAAUUGAGUUUUUUUAAUUGUUUUAGCAACAUGAUGCUGAAUAACAGACGUCUGUGGAACCCCACUUGAGACCCCCUGCCAAUCCAACAAGGAUCUACCUGACAAAGGUUCUUGGCUGGAGUCUUCUCAGGAGUCUUGGCUGCAAGUUUUUCUGGAGUCUUGUCUGCUUUCUUAAAGAAAGCGUCCAAGCAAGUUUGGACAGAUAUUCUCCAGAGAGAUGAGCAGCACAGCGAACUUGUUCGCUGACAUGGUGUCGCAUCGGAUCAAGCGUCCUAACUUGAAGCAGAUGUCAUAAAGUUGAAAUGGUGUCAAUUUAUAAAUGUUGUAACUUGAAACACUAAGUCAAGGACUGCCUGUAUUCAUUUGCCCCUGGCUGCCUGUCAAAGAUAGAAAGGUGCCAGCAGCAGCAGGACCCAGUGGCAGCAGCAAGGCCUACCCCACCACCAGGCACCAACUGGAAGCUUCUGCCUAGAGGCUUCCAGCCUGGGACCCUGUGGCUGUUCCCCCCCGCUCUCCCUCCACCCAAGAAGGAAACAGAGAUAAGAAUGGGUAGAAGGAGCAGGGGAGGAUCGCCAGUACAGCAGACGCCAGACCGGCCCGGCCACUUCAGUUCCCUGCUGACUUCUGCUGCGCUGUGUGGUCCCGGGCACGCAGCUGGGAAUCACUGGGUGCUGGAGUGGCAGAUGGGCACGGGGGGAGGAGCAGUGGCAGCAGGCAGGAAGCAGAGAUGUGGCGGAAAAUUUUCCAGUGCUUUAUUUUUCCAUAAGAAAUUUUCCAUUUCUAAAAAUCCACUGUUUCAUAACAUUCAUUAGUAACAAUGAAUGGAUGCCAAUAUAAUAUUAGGCAAGCUUGGCAAUUUCAAAGUUGUAAUUAUUGUUCUUCAGGUGAUUAUCCCUAGGAAGUGAGAGAGAGAGUACAUAUAUGUUUUGCUGAUUUGUAAACAGGACAGUAAAUACACACGCAUAAUAAUCCAAACCAAAAAUCAAGUUAUGAAUUCACCUAAUUGGCUGUGCAGGUCAAAUCAAAACUAAAGCACAGCAUAUCGUGCACAGUUCUUUGAGUGUACUAAAAUUAGUGUGUUAACAGCUUUCACUGCCAUUUUUUUCUUGAAUUUCAACAAUGUAAGGAAAGUACAUGCUAUUGUGUAUUGUCUUUACAUUUUUACAAGUAUUCCAAUAAAAAUAUAUAUUUUUUCACAUAAAGCUUUGAAUUUGUUUAAAUAUAACGUUUAAACCACAUUAAGUGUGCUGUAUUUAAUUUUUUCCUAAUCAAAUAUUUCAGUGCAAAUACUUGUGGCUAUUGGGACAAAAUUAACAUGGGGGUAUGUUUUUAGUUUUGUUUACUAAAUAUAAGUCAAAUAAACACACUAUUUAGGGCACUGGAAAAUUUUCUGGAAAACCCACAUCUCUGGCAGGAAGGAAGGGAACAGAAGCCACCAGGGAAGAGAAACACCAGCAGGCAAGUGGCAGCAAGCGGGAGUGUGGGGCCCGGGCUGGCAGGAGCUCUACGGAGCUAAGCCAGCUCCACCACUCGCCCUGCCACUGGCUUGGCCACAUGCAAUCCUGACGCUUGCCAGGACAACACACUGCCGGGGGCCUCCGUCUGCCACAGGCCAUGACUGCCAUACACACGCACCUGCAUUCCCCAUGCACACCCCACAUCCCUCCUCACAGACCCCAGCCAUCCUGCCCCCCCACACGACACAACCCCCAGCCAGCUUCCUCCCCACAAACAGCAUACUACCCCCCCACCCCCCCCAGACCUAUCCACCCCCUCCACAAACCCCACUAUUUCCUGCUCCCUGCUCCUGAGGAUGGGGUGGGGUAGUGCAGUGGGAGGGGGCCAGGGUGCCAAAGUCAUACAUGCAGCACAGGGGUCAGGUUGCCUGUGCCGGGUGCAGUGAAAGAAGGGGCUAGACUGCUUGCACUGCAUGUGACAGAGAACCCAGACUGCCUGCACUGCAUACGGGCAGCACUGCACGUGUAGCUUGCUAACUAAAAUUAUUUCAAAUUUGUCGUAAGUUCUCCAAUGAUCUCUGUAUUUAUUACAUUCCAAAUUUCUUCCCGUUUUUUUCCCCUUCGUACUAAAUUUGCUAACCAUUUGAUUGCAGUUUCUGGUUAGUGAAAAUAAAGCAACACAGAAGCUCUGCCUUCUUUGCAAUUUCUAUUAACAGAUCUGUCAAGCCUUGGACCCAUAGUUUCCUUGAUGUUGCUUUUCCAUUGACAUUUGUAGAACUCCUUUUUGUCUUUAACAUUUCUUGCCAAUUUCAACUCAUUCUUCACCUUUUCUUUCUUGAAUUUGCCCCUAUACAUAUUUAUUAUACUUAGUAGUAUGUCCUUCCUUCCAUUGCCUGCACGCAUCUUUUCAUUUUCAGAUAAUUACAAGGUGCAUUUAUAGCCAUAUCAUGUUUGUAGUUCUUCUUUUCCUUGUGUUGGAAUACUAUAAUGUUGAGCCUGCAAAGGAGGGCCAGUCUUUCUGGAGUUUUCCCUUUCAGUUUGCCUAUAAAGGCGACCUUACGUACUAUUUUUGACUUAGUCAAAACCUGACUAAGUCCAGUGUCUUUGCUAUGCUAUUCUCAUGCCUCCCUUUCAUUAGGAUCACAAAUUCCAUCAUACCAUAAUCAUUCCUCCCACGUUUGACAAGUUUUAUGUUUACAACCAGUGAACAUAAUUUACUUUGGAUCAAAAUAAGAUUCAAGAUGACCCCCAGUUGCCUGCCCAGCUUUCUGAAAAGAGUGAAACAGGACCUCCCUGGGUAUUUUAUUUUUUUCUCUCCCUAUAGCUGGGACUUUGAAGUGCCCUAUUGCUAUUACCCCAAACAUUUUUUUUUUUUUUUUAACGAAAUGAAAUUUGCCUUCUUCCUCUGCCCUUCCUGAUUUGUAUGUAUAUCAUGCCUUCACUAUACUUUCCCCCUUUUUAUUUAUUUAUUUUUAUCUUUACCACAUACCCAAUGCCACUUUUCUGUUCUUGAACUUCAGAAGAAAUAUGCACAUUUUCGAAAUAUACCACAAUGCCUUCUCCUCCUUUUUCCCCACUAUACUCUUCUGAACCAAGGUACUCUUUCAGUGUGGAUAUUCUAAUCAUGGGAAUUAGUCCAAGUUUUGGUUAAUUCCAAUUAAGUUUACUAAGACAUCCAGCUCAUCUCGCUCUUAGAACUGGUAUAUGGGCAAAGAUACUUCACAGAUUACUGCCCGCCUUUCCUCCUCCUCUUUUUUAAGUAUUAUUUCCCAAACUUCCUACAAAAUUAAGCUGCUCCUUUCUUAGUAAAUGAAGCUUUUUAAAGGGAGCCUUAAUAGUAUAUUUCUCAUUUUCUGGGCAUCCCAAAGUGAGACACUUAGGGCCUGAUCUGCACAACUGCAACUGAUACACUUGGAUGUUAUAGUGAUAAUCACCUCAGAAAAACAAGGAGGAAAUAAAACACACUAUUCAUUAUGUUCAAUUUGUUUAGAUGGUGUGUAAACCAAGUCCCUGAGAGCCACAUACCCAAAGCAAAGGAUUAAAAAAAGAUUUUAAACAGCUGCAAUAAGUGAGUUUCAUUCAUAAGCAGCAGGUGGGAAAGGUUUCUGUGCAAGAAGUAUGGUGAUAUAAUUAAAGAACACAUUAUAACGUAUGGUAACAUAUACAUACAGGAGAAGCUAAAUUAAGGUUCCCCAAUUUGAAUGUCUGACUGUGUAAACUCAUGGUUCUUUUUAAAAGUUUUUUUUUUAUAUAUGCUUUUCUAGUUUUGAAUAUUACUUUUAUGCAACUGUUUGAAUUGUUUCCAUGAAAGCCUCUUAACAGAUUUUUGUUCUAAAGUUAUAUACAUACUAGUCUGCUACUCAUAAAAUAGUUGAUAAUAUAUUAAGUUAAAGGAAAAAUCUACUGCAACUCUUCAAAUUUCAGAUUUUGGAUUAUAACAAUAAUACAUGUAGGUGUCAUUCUUAAAGAAAGUAAAGCUUAUUGGUUGGAGGCUA